GACCAGGUGGGGCAGGAAUUGGACCUGGUGGGGCAGGAGUUGGACCGGGUGGAACUGGUUUUGGACCAGGUGGGGCAGGAGUUGGACCGGGUGGAACAGGUUUUGGACCAGGUGGUACAGGAUUUGGACCGGGUGGAACUGGUUUUGGCCCAGGUGGGGCAGGAGUUGGACCAGGUGGAACUGGUUUUGGACCAGGUGGGGCAGGAGUUGGACCAGGUGGAACUGGUUUUGGACCAGGCGGGGCAGGAGUUGGACCAGGUGGAGUUGGACCAGGUGGAACCGGGUUUGGACCAGGUGGGGCAGGAGUUGGACCAGGUGGAGUUGGACCAGGUGGAACCGGGUUUGGACCAGGUGGGGCAGGAGUUGGACCAGGUGGAAUCGGUUUUGGCCCAGGUGGGGCAGGAGUUGGACCAGGGGGU
ensembl:lncRNA